rnacentral:tRNA from 1 species
GCGAUGAGAUAAGAGCUCCGGGCAAGAAAACGGAGCCGUGUCCUCGGCCCGUAAGAGCCAAGUUAUAAAAAACUCGAAAGCUUUCUUCUAUACGUGAUUUGUGACAUUUUAGUUGGCCUUGAUAAACGUGGCUAUUGGAGGGGAGAAAAGUUUCGCUAUGAGGGAGUAUCGGGGUGGGAGACGGCGGAGGGGAGGAAGGAGGCAAAAGAACAAGGCGGGAAAGUAAGUUGCAGUGAGGGGCUAUUGGAAUGGACUCCUGUCAGGGGCAGCCCCACAACCGGGAUUUAUUUCGGGGGGGGCCGGCAUUCUGUGGGGAGGGGUUAUUUAUUUACUUGUUGGGGGGCAGCGGCCCCAUUGACGUAGGCAAGGAGGGCCAGGGAGGGGAAGUUGCCCCCCCAAUAAUGAAACUCUAUACAUAACAAACUGAGGUUCUCUCCCCCCCCACACACACAAAAGGCCUGCCCCCCCCUCCACAAAAAUGCUGGCUUCGCCCCUGCCCUCUUAACUCUCACGCUCCCUCACACCCUCAGCAGACUGGAGCUUUUCCCGCCUGGGGAACCCGCAGUCGCUUAGCAGAGACUCAAGUGCAAUUAUUAGCUUUAGAUCGAAAUAUCUCUUUUCAUCCGCCAGACUCUUAACGUUUCCCGCGCUCCCCACCCCCGCUUAACUUUCCCAACCGCCGUAUAUUUUUGAAUCGGGUAUCUUUCAGCUGUCGCGCUCAGCGAGUUCUGCAGCCCUGCCUGCCACAAACCACCAGGACCUCGUGGCGCAACGGUAGCGCGUCUGACUCCAGAUCAGAAGGCUGCGUGUUCGAAUCACGUCGGGGUCAAAGGUUUUUUUUAUCUUGGUAAGUAUUUCCUCGUAACUGCCAAACACCCGUAAUACAGAAAGUGCUUCUUGUGCUAGAUGCUGCUAUUAUUUAAGUGGUAACUGUAGUCAUGCAUACACCCCCACUGACAUGUAAAUCCAUUCAUAAAGUGUGUUGGCCCAUUUAAGCCCAGCAGUGAACUUGUCCUGACUCUUGUAGCUGCUGCUCUUUCUGCAUACGUGAAUGGACAACAAGUGACACUUGCAUUUAUUUGUGCAGACCUCAUCCUGCCUCAUAGGUGGGCCAGCCCUGUAGCUAACCCUAUAAGGAGCUUCGCUUGUGAAUGGUCUACUUUCACAAGCAGUUUAACUUCAGAAGUAAGGGUGCAUGCAGUAUCUCUUUCUGUAACUAGAAAAAUCACACCGUGCAUUUUUUUGCUAACUAUCGAAGUAACUUCUGCAAUCCUUUAUGUGACUACUUCAGAUGUUAAUUUAUGCACAGAAAAACAAACAAAGUGUUAAGAGUUGGGGGCAAGAGUAGGCUGUAUGCCUCAGUCCCUUCUAAUUCCUGGUGAGGUAAUGUCCCCCUAAGUGUGGGCCGUUAAGAUAACAAAGGAAGUGGUUCUGUGGCAGAAAACAAAUGGGUGGGCUGCCCUCCCUAAACUUGCUUAUUGUUCAAAGACAAAGGCCAGAGUUUAGUUGUGUAUGUGAUGUAGAAGCUGGACACAAGUGGCAGGCUGAAGCCUGUAAGGGAAAGACA